AUGGCGGUAGCCGCGGCCUCCUGUGCCCGUGGCGGCAGGAGCCACGGUCUAACUGGUCCAUUUUGUCAAUGUGAUCCAGAGGUGCUAGCAUUCGUCGCCGACAGUCAGCGGCUCCAGGACCUUGACCCGGGCGUGUUCUGCGUCGGCCUCGAUGGCAGGGUGGGCGUGCUCAUCCGCUACAUCAGGGCCUCCUCGUCCUGCCUCGGCAAGGCAGAGGACUCGGCCCACUUCGACCUCAUCUACUACCGGAGCUGCUCCGCCGAUGGCAAGCCCCGCGCGCACGCCGUCGUGGCGGACGAGAUCGAGCAGAUGGCGCUGCGCAAGUACGGUGGCCUCCCGCACUUGGGCAAGAACCGCAACUCCGCCUUCGACGACGCCAUCGCCAAGUAA
rnacentral:rRNA from 1 species